GAUGUAUUUUUUUAUGUUUUAAUUUUCUGUUUGUAUUAAAGAAGUAGUCCGCAGCUCUCACAUUGGCAGCUAAUGCGUCCCAGGCGUCUUUAUGGUCCAACAAGCAGGAAUGAACAGUUCAAGGUGUUUGGUCGGUAGAAGAGCUCCGUCUUCCCCUCUGACACGGCCGCUCUCUGUGAUUUAGACUCAGAUCUCUGGGAGCCUCUUUGAAAGCUGCUACUGGGUAGCAGAUGCUGGACUGGACUCUUUUGUUUUGGACUUUAAGAGCUCUGUGAACUCCUGCAGUGAAAGAUCCCGUGUACACCCUCUUGUACCUGCUGAAGACCUCUGAGCCUGCUGCCAGACUCCCUCACACAUGAUCUGAAUACAACUGGAAGAAGAAGCUUGUAGAGGCUCCCAGCGGACACAUUUCUCCUCUUCCUGUGUGUUCGUCGACCACACGGAGAAGCAGACUCCAGGGACCGUAUGCAGGCCCGGCGGUGCAGGCUGUAGUCGUCUUCUUCACACCUUUAAAUCACAUUCUCUCUGCCUGCUCGCUGCAAAAUGAGAAGCAGAACUUUUGUCUGAGGAGCAGGAGAGGAGAGGGAGACAGAUGGGGAUGUGAAAGACUGAGAGAUGGCAGAGGAGGAGGAGGGAGGGUGUAAGAUGAAUGAUAAGCUGCUGAAGAGCACUUUCUAGUGGCACGACGGAGGACUAGCAAGCUGAGACGCUCACUCCUCUGCUGCUGGAUUUCAAAACAAACAGGCCGUCCCCAGAAAGUAGAGCGCCUCGGAGGACUCUGAGUCGAGCCUGCACGUUGAACUGUUGGUGCCCCGUGGAGAGAAAAGCCAAACCACAAUAAACAAGAUAAUGAAGAUCCUUCCGAGUUCCCAGAAAUGACGGAUUCAACAUGGCGGCCUGUCUGCUGUAAAUUUAGAUCUGGAAUAAAAGUGUUUGUAAUUCAGAGAGCAACAGUGAAGUAAACACUAACAGACAGCGACGAUGAACUUCGCUCCCAGAGGACGAAGAGUUCAACUGAGUGAGCUGAGGGUUUUUCUCUGAUAGACGAGUUUUCAGAAACGUGGACCUGUGUUAGCUCUCAAUGCUACGUCUGCUCAGUCAAAAGCUCAUUAACACGGCCGUGUCAGAUAACCUUAUACCACUGCAACAAAUCAAUCAGAGCUGAUCAAUAAAGCAUCAAUGUCA